UACGGAGGGGGCGAGCGUUGUCCGAAGUUACUGGGCGUAAAGCGCGCGUAGGCGGCCUGGUAAGUUCGGUGUGAAAGCCCUCGGCUCAACCGAGGAAGUGCAUCGGAUACUGCCCGGCUUGAGUGCGGGAGGGGAGAGCGGAAUUCCCAGUGUAGAGGUGAAAUUCGUAGAUAUUGGGAGGAACACCAGUGGCGAAGGCGGCUCUCUGGACCGACACUGACGCUGAGACGCGAAAGCGUGGGUAGCAAACAGGAUUAGAUACCCUGGUAGU
rnacentral:rRNA from 1 species